rnacentral:siRNA from 1 species
GGGUGUGAGUCGUGUGACUAUCC